CAGGAGCGAAUCCCAAACCACGUCUCAGUUCGGAUCGGAGUCUGCAACCCGACUCCGUGAAGCUGGAUUCGCUAGUAAUCGCGCAUCAGCCAUGGCGCGGUGAAUACGUUCCCGGGCCUUGUACACACCGCCCGUCAAGCCACGGGAGCCGGGGGUACCUGAAGUCCGUAACCGAAAGGAUCGGCCUAGGGUAAAACUGGUGACUGGGGCUAAGUCGUAACAAGGUAAC
rnacentral:rRNA from 1 species